rnacentral:lncRNA from 1 species
UAUCUAGAUCUACUCUAGUUUAGAGAAGAGAGGAGAGCUCUCAUCUAUAAACCCUAGCUUUUGCUCUGUCUAUGAAUAAUGAAUAAUGAUCAAGGGGUGCCUCCUCCAGGGGCCAGGGGGUCUGGUUUUAUAGUCCCCUCAAGUGAACCUGGGCCGUCGGAUCAAACCGACAUUGAUUGAACGGUUAUUCUUGAUCCUUUAGGUCGGUGGAGCAUAAUCCGCGAGAUUGAGCAUGAUUGGCUACAGGAGGUGGGCGGGCGCCCAGUAGGACAGGGCGGGCGCCCUGUCUCUGGCCCCGUUUCGCCUCCGCUUCGGUCUCGUGGCUUCUGGAGUCUUCUAGAUGUAAGAUAAUUGCGCAGCACGUUAAUAUCUUUACGUAAUCCCGACAUGUGGGCCUUUCUUCCAUAUUUCCUGAUAACCCCCUGCAGAAAUAGACAAACACCAAAACUCGUGGAAUUCUGUCAGAUAAAACCCUAAGUCUUGAUGUUGAUUUCAUUUGGAUCCUUUUCUUUGUUUAUUUGAUAGUUAAAUUUGAUACUUAAGGACCGUCAACAAACUCCCCCAAGCUUACCUCUUGCUCGUCCCUGAGCAAGGAUAGACUCAGCUAUGGAUCAGAAGUUGUUGCAAUAUCUUAAAAAUUUAACGGUACACAUGCUUUUAAAUAAGAUCUCAUCUCUGAGUUAGAGUAAACUGUUAAGAACUAAAACUUACUUACUUUACCUUUCACCAUGGGACUUUUAACCGUCACUUCUGUCUUGAGUAGUUAAAAGAUAGAACAGUCUAGCCAAGUGCCAUGUCUCUUAUUCUUGAUCAGCUAUAGCUCUGGAGUUUUUGCAAAUUUUCAAAUAAAACUCAGAGAUUCCUUGUAUGACUCUCUAAAUCUCCCUUUUGUGGUAUUUCUGGAUCCUUACCAAGGCAGUGAUGGUAUAUGCCUUCUCUCAAGAUAUGUGGUAUUUGUGGUAUAAGGCAUAGUGACAUUGCCUUCUCUCUCACCCUACUCUAAUAAGGCUUUAAUAUCUGGAGCUCAUAGGUGGGAGAUAAAAUAUACAUACUUACAAGACAUUUAUUGUAUAGUCAAACCAUGGAUCCAAAGAAACAAAUCAAUAAGCCAAAUCAAGAUGUGCAUGUGUGGCGAAUGAAUGGUGUAUAGUGAUGAUGGUGAUAACAAUGGUGAAAGUCUAAUUCUACUUUUGCUCUUAUGAGGGGAUACAUACCUUCCUUGCUUUUUGAAACUUUAUGAGAAGAAUGAGAUGCUCUUCUUUUUCUUUCCUCUCAGGUGGGUAUCUUGUACCCCUAAUUCUACUGUCGGACACUUGUCCAUUUUUACCACUCGUCUCACUUUUUCUUUCUUUCGAGGUUCCGGGCACUUGCCCCUUUUUAUUUCCUCAUUUAUUAUUAUUAUUUUUCUUUUCUUCUCUUUUCUUUUCUUUUUUUUCAGAGCACUCAUCUCCUGAAAUAAUGUAGCUAGUGGUAGUAACCAAAAUAACUGGAGCAUUUAUUUUACAGGGAAUAACAGGGAUAGGGAAAUGUUUUUGGCUAUUCUCUCCCGGAUUAGGAGUAGAAUGAUUUUGUGUGAAACUGGAGAUGGAAAUGGAUGGAUAUAUGUGGAUGGUACUUCCGGAGUAGAAGUAGCAUAUAUGAGUGAACGUGCAAGUGAAUCUUGAUUUAACCACAUGACAAGCUCCUAAGGGUCUACACAGCUUGACCACACUCAAUGUUCAUAAGCAGUAAAUAAAUGUGUGGCUCAAAGUCUAGCAAGCAUGUAUAUAUGGCUGUGGUAGGAAUUUAAACUCUCAUCAUACAGGAACUCAUCAUGCAACAUUUUAAAGAUUUUCAAAGAUAAAAUUCUCCAGAAUUCUAGCAUCUCUAGGAACAGAUAAACAGCAGCUCAACCUUCCCAUAUCAUAUCCGUUAACAACUUAGAUUUCAGAUCAAGUUUCCAUCCCACAAGUUUAGAUCUAGAGCAAGCUUUAAAUUAUAACAGUUAUGUCUAAACUUGAGAGAGAACUUCAAAUUUGCAAAUUAGGCAGAGCAACUAUUCAUCAUAUCCAUGCUAGAGUUUUAUUAUUAAGAUUCAGAUUAGCAUAGCCACUUUAUUUAUUUAUUAAACACACUAAGCAAAAGAUAUAUAUAUAUAAGCACAAAAUCUUUAUUUGGUUUUUCAUAGUUUAUGUAUUUUAAUAUUCUAAUAUAAUAUAAGUAUAAAGAUAGGUAGAAAUACUUAGCGAGAUAAAUGGGGG